rnacentral:miRNA from 1 species
AACGGCCGCAUAUUAUAAAUCA